UUACGACCAUAUCACGUUGAAACAACGAUUCUCGUACGAUCACUGGAGUUAAGCAAAAUCGAGCCUGGUCAGUAACUAGAUGGGUGAGCUCUUAGGAAUACCAAGGGUUGUAAG